GAUGAUCUCGUAUCCUUAGACACACCCCAUUAUAGUUUUCCUCUGUGGCAUCAUCGGGACGGGAAAGGCAUUCUCGCUCGCGAUCUCACUGAUGAAAGGAGUAACCCUUUACGACCAUGAAUAUUACGCGUCCGACUUAGAUUUUGUGAGUACGUUCAUCUAUCAUCCCGUCGACCGCGGAUUCGUUAUUGAACCUAGGAUCAUUGUCAUUCGUUUCUCGAGUACCUAACUACCGCGAUUACUUGUCCGGUUCUAUAAUAAUCGUAUUUACACUAGUCAAUGUCUUCUCUAUUGCAUAACGACAACGUGUAACCCAAACGAAGAUUCGUUUCACGCCCCUAACCCUAAUUCUAAUGUAAACCCGACAUCAGAAGUGGGAUCAGUGCCGGUUAUAACAGUGCAAGAGCUUACGACCAUCGUGCGCGAGUUAAUUCCGUCGCUGGUGCAAAAAAUCGAGUGUGGAACCUAACAAUUUUUCGACUCCGCUGCAUGGUGCGCAGCUACCAAUCUGAUUAUGGGGGGAAAUCCUUUACAAAGCAGUGCCCUGAAUAUAAUUUCAAUACCGAGUGUCGAAUCGACUUCUACGUAGUGGAGGCGCCAACUGGUAGAUCAAGCCAUCCGGGUGAGUCGUUUCCAUUUUACCCCGAUUUCGGAGCCGAGUGUUCGCUAAUCAAAGAAUCCGUAGUCUUGAGAAUUUCUGGCAAAAGAACGAUUGAUAUAGUAGUAAUGCGAGGAAUAAGAGAUAUUGGUACUAAACGUAUCGCUCAAAUCUUGUCCGUUGCAGGUGUCGGCGAUUAGAGAUAAAUUUUUCAUGUCCUCGCUGAUAGUUAUUUAACAAUACGAUAUCGCGAUUACUCGUUAAAUUUUAAGCCAAGAUUUUGACGUAAUAUUACACAAAAUAGCCUCGCUAUGUGUAAAACAAAAAUAAUUAAUGCCUGUAAUAAAACCGCCGAAAACGAGAUCGAUGUUAAUGAAGUUGACAAUGAGGUACGUGGUAGUGAUAAAAGUCGAUUAAUCUUUCUUUUCGAAAAUUCAGAGAUUCAUCCGUUACGGGUUCCCUAAGUACUCGUACAAAAAAAUACAGGCCAGUUAGAAGUACAAUUAAUUGAUCCUAACAUCGCCGUACAAGAAGUCUUAAUAGACUUCGCGAGCGCAGAAUAGUACGUGAUAGAACAAGCGACUUAAUUACAGCCAAAAAUCAUAAAGCCU